CCCCUAGAUGUUCUGGGCCGCACGCGCGCUACACUGAACAGUUCAACAAGUCUUAACCUUGGCCGAUAGGUCUGGGUAAUCUUUGAACGCUGUUCGUGAUUGGGAUAGACCUUUGCAAUUAUGGGUCUUCAACGAGGAAUUCCUAGUAAACGCAAGUCAUCAGCUUGCAUUGAUUACGUCCCUGCCCUUUGUACACACCGCCCGUCGCACCUACCGAUUGAAUGGUCCGGUGAAAUCUCGGGAUUGGCGCGCACCUCGGUGCCGCCGAGAAGUUGGCUAAACCUUACCAUUUAGAGGAAGGUGAANUCGUANCA
rnacentral:rRNA from 1 species